GAUGAACGCUAGCGGCAGGCCUAACACAUGCAAGUCGAGGGGCAGCACGUCUUCGGAUGGUGGCGACCGGCGCACGGGUGCGUAACGCGUAUGCAACCUACCUCUUACAGUGGGAUAGCCCAGAGAAAUUUGGAUUAAUACCGCAUAGUAUACAGAUUCAGCAUUGGGACUGUAUUAAACAUUUANGGGUAAGAGAUGGGCAUGCGUUCUAUUAGUUAGUUGGAGUGGUAACGGCACCCCAAGACAGCGAUAGAUAGGGGCCCUGAGAGGGGGAUCCCCCGACACUGGUACUGAGACACGGACCAGACUCCUACGGGAGCAGCAGUGAGGAAUAUUGGACAAUGGGCGAGAG
rnacentral:rRNA from 1 species